AUUGAACGCUGGCGGCAUGCCUUACACAUGCAAGUCGAACGGCAGCACGGGUGCUUGCACCUGGUGGCGAGUGGCGAACGGGUGAGUAAUACAUCGGAACGUACCUUAUCGUGGGGGAUAACGCAGCGAAAGCUGUGCUAAUACCGCAUACGCCCUGAGGGGGAAAGCGGGGGAUCGAAAGACCUCGCGCGAUUAGAGCGGCCGAUGCCUGAUUAGCUUGUUGGUGGGGUAAAAGCCCACCAAGGCGACGAUCAGUAGCUGGUCUGAGAGGACGAUCAGCCACACUGGGACUGAGACACGGCCCAGACUCCUACGGGAGGCAGCAGUGGGGAAUUUUGGUCAAUGGGCGCAAGCCUGAACCAGCCAUGCCGCGUGCAGGAAUAAGGUCUUAUGGAUUGUAAACUGCUUUUAUACAGGAAGAAACCCUCCACGUGUGGGAUAUUGACGGUACUGUAUGAAUAAGGAUCGGCUAACUCCGUGCCAG
rnacentral:rRNA from 1 species